rnacentral:lncRNA from 1 species
AAGGGAACCAAAACAGGAAUUCAAGUUACUAUUUUGUACUAAGUGCGAAUUGUGCCGAAAUUGGACAUUUCGAUUGUAGUAUUGAUGUGAUUUCGUGCUUUGUUUUCAGCAGGAUUGAGACUUCGUUGAGCUGAAUAUUGGAACUUCUUGUGACUGGAUUGAGCCUAGUGAUAGGUGGGUUUGACCUAACCAGAGCAAGUGAAGCUCCCCUAUGUUCUAUAUGAUACUAUAGAAAUAGCAUAUGAAUGCAUUUUGCGUAACUUGGGAAUCGACAUAGGUUCAAGACAUGAUUACCAUUAUAGUUGCUAUAUGUAUGUGUCUGCCACCACGAAUGACGCACCUCGCACGGCUGAUGGAUUUCAGGCCGUGGGGUAGUAUUCAUGAUUCAGAUUAAUAUUUAAAUAUGUAUGGUUAUCAGGUUUUGUGGAUUCAUGACUUCCAAUAAACGCAAGCGUCUAUUGUUAAUUACCCCUACAAAGUGUUAGGGCACCUUCGAUUAAGAGACCUUUGUAAUGCUGUGAUUGAAUAAAAGAUGAAUUUUAUAACAUAAUUCAGUAUGACGGUUGAUUGAAUUUGAUUCUGAACCAAGAUAUUAUUCAUCCUAAGGUGAAAGGUUGGUUAAAUUCCCAGUAUAUACAUUGGAAUUUAAUCAGAUUUGAUUCAAAUUAAACUCUAAUUAAAUGAAUUAGAGUUUGAUUUAGUUAAUUGAACUUUAAAUAUAUGUGAUAAAGUCCAAUGAGAUUUGAAAUAUUUUGGAUUAGACUCUAAUUUUAUAUUUUAAAGUCUAGUAUAAUUAAGCUCUAUGCUUAUAUGUUCAAGCUCAAUUAAGUUCACCAUAAAGCCAAAUAUUAACUAAAUCCUAAUUAUAUGUAUUAGGACUAGUCAAAAUUUGAUUUAAAUUAAACUCUAAGUGUAUGUAUUAGAGUCUAAUUUGGUUUCACAUGAACUAAAUCCUAAUUACAUAUGUUAGGAUUAGUCAAAAUAUUUUAAAUUAAACUCUAAAUGUAUAUAUUAGAGUCCAAUUUAAUUUCGUUUGGGUUUGCCAUAAGAUGAAUUUAUGUCCACCAUGUAGCGAGAUACGGACCAAAUCCUAAUUAUAUGUGUUAGGAUUAGCCGAAAUUAAACUCUAAGUGUAUGUGUUAGAGUCUAAUCAAGAGAUGAAUCAACUAAAUCCUAAUUUUAUAAGUUAGGAUUAGUUAAAGUUUAAACUCUAAGUGUAUGUAUUAGAGUUUAAUUUAAUGAACUCUAAGUAUAUAUAUUAGAGCUCAAUUGAUUUGAUCGGGUGAAACCUUGUAUAUGGUUUGAUCAAUUCUAAUUAAAUAUUUUAGAAUUUGAUCGAGUUUGAAUAUGUCAAGAUUUAGCUCUAGUUAUAUAUGCUAGAGAAAAGGUUUGAUAUGGGCUCAUUUGAAUUGGAAUUAAUUGGGUUGGGUUCGGCUUGGAUCAAUUUGGAUACAUAAUUGGAUUGGGUUUGGUUUAAUUGUGUAGGUUGGCUAUUGGGUUUGGAUUCAGGUUUAACAUGGAUUGGUUUCAUUUUGAUUUGGGUUUAGG